UACAGAGGUCUCAAGCGUUGUUCGGAUUCAUUGGGCGUAAAGGGUGCGUAGGCGGCGCGGUAAGUCGGAUGUGAAAUCUCGGGGCUUAACUCCGAAACUGCAUUCGAUACUGCCGUGCUUGAGGACUGGAGAGGAGACUGGAAUUUACGGUGUAGCGGUGAAAUGCGUAGAUAUCGUAAGGAAGACCAGUGGCGAAGGCUGGUCUCUGGACAGUUCCUGACGCUGAGGCACGAAGGCCAGGGGAGCAAACGGG
rnacentral:rRNA from 1 species